rnacentral:rRNA from 1 species
UGGGGAAUCUUGCGCAAUGGGCGAAAGCCUGACGCAGCCAUGCCGCGUGAGUGAUGAAGGCCUUAGGGUUGUAAAACUCUUUCACCGGGGACGAUAAUGACGGUACCCGGAGAAGAAGCCCCGGCUAACUUCGUGCCAGCAGCCGCGGUAAUACGAAGGGGGCUAGCGUUGCUCGGAAUUACUGGGCGUAAAGGGCGCGUAGGCGGAUCAGCAAGUUGGGGGUGAAAGCCCGGGGCUCAACCUCGGAAUUGCCUUCAAAACUGCUGAUCUAGAGUACGGGAGAGGUGUGUGGAACCUCCGAGUGUAGAGGUGAAAUCCGUAGAUAUUCGGAAGAACACCAGUGGCGAAGGCGACACACUGGCCCGUUACUGACGCUGAGGCGCGAAAGCGUGGGGAGCAAACAGGUUAGAUACCCUGGUAGUCCACGCUGUGAACGAUGAUUGCUAGUUGUCGGCA